AUGCUACAGAUUUUGCCAUCAACAGCCAUCAAUAUCGAAAUAAAUUAUGCUCAACUGGGACCACUGGCGGAUUGGAGACAACACAAUGCAAGGAGAGUACGAUUUCCAUCUGUUACAUGUAUGCAACAAGGCAGUAAAGUAAUACUGAAGAAAAAAAAAACAUGGCAAAGGAAUACUCUUUUUGGCCUAAAUGCAAAGCCUUAUGUUUAGAGCAAAUCCAACACAACACAUCACUGAAUAGCUGCCUUCGUAUUUUCAAGCAUGGUGGUGGCUGCAUCAUGGUAUGAGGGUAGCCUAGUGGUUAGAGUGUUGGGCCAGUAACCGAAAGGUUGCUGGAUUGAAUCCCUGAGCUGACAAGGUAAACCUCUGUUGUUCUGCCCCUGAACAAAGCAGUUAACCCCUGUUCCCCUUUAGGCUGUCAUUGUAAAUAAGACUUUUUUCUUAACUGACUUGCCUAGUUAAAUAAAAUAAAAAAAUGCUUUACGUUGACAAAGACUGGGGUGUUUUUCAGGAUGAAAAGAAAUUGGAUGCAGCUAAUCACAGCCAAAAUCCUAGAGGAAAACCACAGCAAUUGACCUUUCAGCAGGACAAUAACCUACAACAUCAAGCCAAAUCUACACUGGAGUUGCUUACUAAGAAGACAGUCAAUGUUCCUGAGCGGCCAAGUUACAGUUUUGACUUAAAUCUGCUUGUCAAGGUUGUGCGCUACUGGUGUAGAAGUCAGGUGCAGGAGAGCAAAAAGUUGUGAUCCGGCGCACACUUUAUUAGGCAGAAGCAAACAACAGCCGGACGCAACUGCGUCAAACAAAUCUCCAGCCAAAACGAAAGUGUAAAGCGCGACAAAGUCACAAUGAAGGAAAAGAGUUUAACAAUAAACAUACUACGGGUGAAAUACGGUACCCGGGAAACACCGGCCUGGCGUGUCACACAAAAACACGUAACAAAUAACAAUUCCACACAAAGACAUGGGGGGAACAGAGGGAAUAUAUAUGUAGUGUGAUUAGGGAAUGUAAACCAGGUGUGCGGGGAAACAAGACAAAACAAAUGGAACAAUAAACAGUGGAGCGGCGAUGGCUAGAAGACCGGUGACGCCGAACGCCGCCCGAACAAGGAGAGGAGCCGACUUCGGCGGAAGUCGUGACACUGCUUGAAAAUCUAAGACUUGAAAAUGGCUGUCUAGCCAUGAUUCCCUACACCUUGACAGAGCUUGAAGAAUUUUGAAAAGAAUAAUGGGCCAAUACUGCACAAUACAGGUGUGCAAAGUUCUUCUGAGACUUACCCAAGAAGACUCACAUCUGUAAUCACUGCCAAAGGUGUUUCUAACAUGUAUUGAAUCAGAGGGUUGAAUACUUAUCUAAUCAAGGUAUAUUAGUGUUAUAUUUAGUAUUUAGUAUUCUUGACAUUGUCUUUCACUUUGACAUAACAGAGUAUUUUGUGUAGAUUGUUGACAAAAAAAGACAAUUAAAUCCAUUUCAAUCCCACUUUGUAACACAAUAAAAUGUGAAGAAAUAAAAAAAGACAAUUAAAUCCA